UACGUAGGGUGCGAGCGUUAAUCGGAAUUACUGGGCGUAAAGCGUGCGCAGGCGGUUUUGUAAGCCAGAUGUGAAAUCCCCGGGCUUAACCUGGGAAUGGCAUUUGGGACUGCAAGGCUUGAGUGCGGCAGAGGAGACUGGAAUUCCUGGUGUAGCAGUGAAAUGCGUAGAGAUGUGGAGGAACACCGAUGGCGAAGGCAGCCCCCUGGGUCAAGAUUGACGCUCAUGCACGAAAGCGUGGGGAGCAAACAGG
rnacentral:rRNA from 1 species